GACGAACGCUGGCGGCGUGCCUAAUACAUGCAAGUUGAGCGCUGAAGGUUGGUACUUGUACCAACUGGAUGAGCAGCGAACGGGUGAGUAACGCGUGGGGAAUCUGCCUUUGAGCGGGGGACAACAUUUGGAAACGAAUGCUAAUACCGCAUAAAAACUUUAAACACAAGUUUUAAGUUUGAAAGAUGCAAUUGCAUCACUCAAAGAUGAUCUCGCGUUGUAUUAGCUAGGUGGUGAGGUAAAGGCUCACCAAGGCGAGGAUACGUAGCCCACCUGAGAGGGUUGUCGGCCCCAUUGGGACGGAGACACGGCCCAAACUCCUACGGGAGGCAGCAGGAGGGAAUCUUCGGCAAUGGGCGAAAGUCUUACCGAGCAACGCCGCGUGGGUGAAGAAGGUUUUCGGAUCGGAAAACUCUGUUGGUAGAGAAGAAAGUUGGGGGGAGUGGAAAGCUCAUCAAGUGACGGUAACUACCCAGAAAGGGACGGCUAACUACGUG
rnacentral:rRNA from 1 species